rnacentral:rRNA from 1 species
UACGUAGGGUGCAAGCGUUGUCCGGAAUUAUUGGGCGUAAAGAGCUCGUAGGCGGUCUGUCGCGUCUGCUGUGAAAACUCGGGGCUUAACCCCGGGCCUGCAGUGGGUACGGGCAGGCUCGAGUUCGGUAGGGGAGACUGGAAUUCCUGGUGUAGCGGUGAAAUGCGCAGAUAUCAGGAGGAACACCGGUGGCGAAGGCGGGUCUCUGGGCAGUAACUGACGCUGAGGAGCGAAAGCGUGGGGAGCGAACAGG